UACAGAGGGUGCAAGCGUUGUUCGGAAUUAUUGGGCGUAAAGCACGUGUAGGCGGCUUUGCAAGUCGGGUGUGAAAGCCCUCAGCUCAACUGAGGAAGUGCGCCCGAAACUGCAGAGCUUGAGUACCGGAGAGGAUGGUGGAAUUCCCCAAGUAGAGGUGAAAUUCGUAGAUAUGGGGAGGAACACCGGUGGCGAAGGCGACCAUCUGGACGGAUACUGACGCUGAGACGCGAAAGCGUGGGUAGCAAACAGG
rnacentral:rRNA from 1 species